rnacentral:rRNA from 1 species
GGAUUAGCCCAGGUGGGAUUAGCUUGUUGGUGAGGUAAUGGCUCACCAAGGCAACGAUCCCUAGCUGGUCUGAGGGGAUGAUCAGCCACACUGGAACUGAGACACGGUCCAGACUCCUACGGGAGGCAGCAGUGGGGAAUAUUGCACAAUGGGGCAAACCCUGAUGCAGCCAUGCCGCGUGUAUGAAGAAGGCCUUCGGGUUGUAAGGUACUUUCAGUAGGGAGGAAGGCAGUGUCGUUAAUAGCGGCAUUGUUUGACGUUACCUACAGAAGAAGCACCGGCUAACUCCGUGCCAGCAGCCGUGGUAAUACGGAGGGUGCGAGCGUUAAUCGGAAUUACUGGGCGUAAAGCGCAUGCAGGCGGUCUGUUAAGCAAGAUGUGAAAGCCCGGGGCUCAACCUCGGAACAGCAUUUUGAACUGGCAGACUAGAGUCUUGUAGAGGGGGGUAGAAUUUCAGGUGUAGCGGUGAAAUGCGUAGAGAUCUGAAGGAAUACCGGUGGCGAAGGCGGCCCCCUGGACAAAGACUGACGCUCAGAUGCGAAAGCGUGGGCAGCAAACAGGAUUAGAUACCCUGGUAGUCCACGCCGUAAACGAUGUCUAUUUGGAGGUUGUGGCCUUGAGCCGUGGCUUUCGGAGCUAACGCGUUAAGUAGACCGCCUGGGGAGUACGGUCGCAAGAUUAAAACUCAAAUGAAUUGACGGGGGCCCGCACAAGCGGUGGAGCAUGUGGUUUAAUUCGAUGCAACGCGAAGAACCUUACCUACUCUUGACAUCCAGAUAACUUUCCAGAGAUGGAUUGGUGCCUUCGGGAACUCUGAGACAGGUGCUGCACGGCUGUCGUCAGCUCGUGUUGUGAAAUGUUGGGUUAAGGCCCGCAACGAGCGCAACCCUUCUCCUUGUUUGCCAGCAGUUCGGGUGGGAACUCCAGGGAGACUG